AGAGUUUGAUCCUGGCUCAGAACGAACGCUGGCGGCGUGGAUAAGACAUGCAAGUCGAGCGCUGAUUGAAGGGUAGCAAUACUUUUCAAUCGGAGCGGCGCAAGGGUGCUUAACACGUGGGUAAUUUGCCAUGAAGUUGGGGAUAACUUGCUGAAAGGCGAGCUAAUACCGAAUGUGGCCCGAUGGAGGCAUCUCCGAUUGGCCAAAGCUGGGGACCGUAAGGCCUGGCGCUUCAUGAUAAACCCGCGGCCUAUCAGCUAGUUGGCGAGGUAACGGCUCACCAAGGCGAUGACGGGUAGCUGGUCUGAGAGGACGACCAGCCACACUGGAACUGAGACACGGUCCAGACACCUACGGGUGGCAGCAGUCGAGAAUUUUUCACAAUGGGGGAAACCCUGAUGGAGCGACGCCGCGUGGGGGAUGAAUGGCUUCGGCCCGUAAACCCCUGUCAUUUGCGAACAAACCUUUUUAGUAAACAACUGAAAAGCUGAUUGUAGCGGAAGAGGAAGGGACGGCUAACUCUGUGCCAGCAGCCGCGGUAAUACAGAGGUCCCAAGCGUUGUUCGGAUUCACUGGGCGUAAAGGGUGCGUAGGUGGUCGGGUAAGUCUGAUGUGAAAUCUCGGAGCUCAACUCCGAAACUGCAUUGGAUACUAUCCGGCUGGAGGGUCGGAGGGGGGACUGGAAUUCUCGGUGUAGCAGUGAAAUGCGUAGAUAUCGAGAGGAACACCAGUGGCGAAGGCGAGUCCCUGGACGACUCCUGACACUGAGGCACGAAAGCUAGGGGAGCAAACAGGAUUAGAUACCCCGGUAGUCC
rnacentral:rRNA from 1 species